UUUCGUGCAGGUGGAGAUGCACAGCUGGCCUUUGCGUAGCACUCAAGCGUUGACGACGUGAGUUACUCCGUCCCGCUGGCCCGCUGAUUCCUCCCCCUGACUGAGUGCUUCUGUACUGAUUGAUUUACAGAGAAUCAGGAACGUAAGUCGCCGCAGCAUUAAACGCGGCACGACAAAACGAGCAGCCUAGGCUGCUCUACGGCCUGACACGCGACCGUAAGGAUCGUGUGUGCCGUCGCGGUUUCCGUGAGCCCGGAAACCUA
rfam:Pseudomonas hussainii strain JCM 19513 genome assembly, contig: Ga0104663_106